GGAUGAACGCUGGCGGCGUGCCUAAUACAUGCAAGUCGAGCGAACGGACGAGAAGCUUGCUUUUCUGAUGUUAGCGGCGGACGGGUGAGUAACACGUGGAUAACCUACCUAUAAGGCUGGGAUAACUUCGGGAAACCGGAGCUAAUACCGGAUAAUAUUUUGAACCGCAUGGUUCAAAAGUGAAAGACGGUCUUGCUGUCACUUAUAGAUGGAUCCGCGCUGCAUUAGCUAGUUGGUAAGGUAACGGCUUACCAAGGCAACGAUGCAUAGCCGACCUGAGAGGGUGAUCGGCCACACUGGAACUGAGACACGGUCCAGACUCCUACGGGGGGCAGCAGUAGGGAAUCUUCCGCAAUGGGCGAAAGCCUGACGGAGCAACGCCGCGUGAGUGAUGAAGGUCUUCGGAUCGUAAAACUCUGUUAUUAGGGAAGAACAUAUGUGUAAGUAACUGUGCACAUCUUGACGGUACCUAAUCAGAAAGCCACGGCUAACUACGUG
rnacentral:rRNA from 1 species